GAUGAACGCUGGCGGCGUGCCUAAUACAUGCAAGUCGAGCGAACGGACGAGAAGCUUGCUUCUCUGAUGUUAGCGGCGGACGGGUGAGUAACACGUGGAUAACCUACCUAUAAGACUGGGAUAACUUCGGGAAACCGGAGCUAAUACCGGAUAAUAUUUUGAACCGCAUGGUUCAAAAGUGAAAGACGGUCUUGCUGUCACUUAUAGAUGGAUCCGCGCUGCAUUAGCUAGUUGGUAAGGUAACGGCUUACCAAGGCAACGAUGCAUAGCCGACCUGAGAGGGUGAUCGGCCACACUGGAACUGAGACACGGUCCAGACUCCUACGGGAGGCAGCAGUAGGGAAUCUUCCGCAAUGGGCGAAAGCCUGACGGAGCAACGCCGCGUGAGUGAUGAAGGUCUUCGGAUCGUAAAACUCUGUUAUUCGGGAAGAACAUAUGUGUAAGUAACUGUGCACAUCUUGACGGUACCUAAUCAGAAAGCCACGGCUAACUACGUG
rnacentral:rRNA from 1 species